UUAAGCGACUAAGCGUACACGGUGGAUGCCCUGGCAGUCAGAGGCGAUGAAGGACGUGCUAAUCUGCGAAAAGCGCCGGCGAGGUGAUAUGAACCCUUGACCCGGCGAUGUCCGAAUGGGGAAACCCAGUGUGUUCCGACACACUAUCGUUAACUGAAUACAUAGGUUAACGAGGCGAACCGGGGGAACUGAAACAUCUAAGUACCCCGAGGAAAAGAAAUCAACCGAGAUUCCCCCAGUAGCGGCGAGCGAACGGGGAGCAGCCCGGAGUCUGAAUCAGCUUGUGUGUUAGUGGAACGGUCUGGAAAGUCCGACGGUACAGGGUGAUAGUCCCGUACACGAAAAUGCACAUGCUGUGAACUCGAAGAGUAGGGCGGGACACGUGGUAUCCUGUCUGAAUAUGGGGGGACCAUCCUCCAAGGCUAAAUACUCCUGACUGACCGAUAGUGAACCAGUACCGUGAGGGAAAGGCGAAAAGAACCCCGGCGAGGGGAGUGAAAAAGAACCUGAAACCGUGUACGUACAAGCAGUGGGAGCACCUUCGGGUGUGACUGCGUACCUUUUGUAUAAUGGGUCAGCGACUUAUAUUCUGUAGCAAGGUUAACCGUAUAGGGGAGCCGAAGGGAAACCGAGUCUUAACUGGGCGUUAAGUUGCAGGGUAUAGACCCGAAACCCGGUGAUCUAGCCAUGGGCAGGUUGAAGGUUGGGUAACACUAACUGGAGGACCGAACCGACUAAUGUUGAAAAAUUAGCGGAUGACCUGUGGCUGGGGGUGAAAGGCCAAUCAAACCGGGAGAUAGCUGGUUCUCCCCGAAAGCUAUUUAGGUAGCGCCUCGUGAACUCAUCUUCGGGGGUAGAGCACUGUUUCGGCUAGGGGGCCAUCCCGGCUUACCAACCCGAUGCAAACUACGAAUACCGAAGAAUGUUAUCACGGGAGACACACGGCGGGUGCUAACGUCCGUCGUGAAGAGGGAAACAACCCAGACCGCCAGCUAAGGUCCCAAAGUCAUGGUUAAGUGGGAAACGAUGUGGGAAGGCACAGACAGCCAGGAUGUUGGCUUAGAAGCAGCCAUCAUUUAAAGAAAGCGUAAUAGCUCACUGGUCGAGUCGGCCUGCGCGGAAGAUGUAACGGGGCUAAACCAUGCACCGAAGCUGCGGCAGCGACGCUUAUGCGUUGUUGGGUAGGGGAGCGUUCUGUAAGCCGUUGAAGGUGUGCUGUGAGGCAUGCUGGAGGUAUCAGAAGUGCGAAUGCUGACAUAAGUAACGAUAAAGCGGGUGAAAAGCCCGCUCGCCGGAAGACCAAGGGUUCCUGUCCAACGUUAAUCGGGGCAGGGUGAGUCGACCCCUAAGGCGAGGCCGAAAGGCGUAGUCGAUGGGAAACAGGUUAAUAUUCCUGUACUUGGUGUUACUGCGAAGGGGGGACGGAGAAGGCUAUGUCAGCCGGGCGACGGUUGUCCCGGUUUAAGCAUGUAGGCGGAGGUUCCAGGUAAAUCCGGUACCUUAUUAACGCUGAGGUGUGAUGACGAGGCACUACGGUGCUGAAGUGAUAAAUGCCCUGCUUCCAGGAAAAGCCUCUAAGCAUCAGGUAACACGAAAUCGUACCCCAAACCGACACAGGUGGUCAGGUAGAGAAUACCAAGGCGCUUGAGAGAACUCGGGUGAAGGAACUAGGCAAAAUGGUGCCGUAACUUCGGGAGAAGGCACGCUGAUAUGUAGGUGAAGCCCCUGCGGACGGAGCUGAAAUCAGUCGAAGAUACCAGCUGGCUGCAACUGUUUAUUAAAAACACAGCACUGUGCAAACACGAAAGUGGACGUAUACGGUGUGACGCCUGCCCGGUGCCGGAAGGUUAAUUGAUGGGGUUAGCGGCAACGCGAAGCUCUUGAUCGAAGCCCCGGUAAACGGCGGCCGUAACUAUAACGGUCCUAAGGUAGCGAAAUUCCUUGUCGGGUAAGUUCCGACCUGCACGAAUGGCGUAAUGAUGGCCAGGCUGUCUCCACCCGAGACUCAGUGAAAUUGAACUCGCUGUGAAGAUGCAGUGUACCCGCGGCAAGACGGAAAGACCCCGUGAACCUUUACUAUAGCUUGACACUGAACACUGGUCCUUGAUGUGUAGGAUAGGUGGGAGGCUUUGAAGCGUGGACGCCAGUCUGCGUGGAGCCACCCUUGAAAUACCACCCUUUAAUGGCUGGUGUUCUAACGUAGACCCGUGAUCCGGGUUGCGGACAGUGUCUGGUGGGUAGUUUGACUGGGGCGGUCUCCUCCCAAAGAGUAACGGAGGAGCACGAAGGUUGGCUAAUCCUGGUCGGACAUCAGGAGGUUAGUGCAAUGGCAUAAGCCAGCUUGACUGCGAGCGUGACGGCGCGAGCAGGUGCGAAAGCAGGUCAUAGUGAUCCGGUGGUUCUGAAUGGAAGGGCCAUCGCUCAACGGAUAAAAGGUACUCCGGGGAUAACAGGCUGAUACCGCCCAAGAGUUCAUAUCGACGGCGGUGUUUGGCACCUCGAUGUCGGCUCAUCACAUCCUGGGGCUGAAGUAGGUCCCAAGGGUAUGGCUGUUCGCCAUUUAAAGUGGUACGCGAGCUGGGUUUAGAACGUCGUGAGACAGUUCGGUCCCUAUCUGCCGUGGGCGCUGGAGAAUUGAGGGGGGCUGCUCCUAGUACGAGAGGACCGGAGUGGACGCAUCACUGGUGUUCGGGUUGUCAUGCCAAUGGCACUGCCCGGUAGCUAAAUGCGGAAGAGAUAAGUGCUGAAAGCAUCUAAGCACGAAACUUGCCCCGAGAUGAGUUCUCCCUGAGACCUUGAGUCUCCUGAAGGAACGUUGAAGACGACGACGUUGAUAGGUCGGGUGUGUAAGCGCAGCGAUGCGUUGAGCUAACCGAUACUAAUGAACCGUGAGGCUUAACCUU
rnacentral:rRNA from 2 species